rnacentral:lncRNA from 1 species
CGAAUCAAAAACUACAACUUCAAGAAAUAAAGAACAAAUUACAACAGACUCCUUAGAGCAUAGAUAAAUUACGAAAAUUCAUCUUCUUGUUAAAGGAAUUAAAACAACUGCAUCAACUAUUUAACUCAAUUACUCUGACACAAACAAAAUAAAAAAAAAAUAAAAAAAAAUCUUUAAAGAAAUGUAUUGCUGUAGUUUGACUCCGGACCGAUGGAUAUUCAAGACGAAGUUGAUAUCAACAAAUAAAUAUACGAGUUUUUUCAGACACCAAGCCCGGUUUUUUAUUACAGGCAAGAGACAAGAGUAUAGUUGAAACUCAUAUAACAAACAAAAACAUAAAUAAUUAUACACCAAUUUUUUUUUAAAUUUCUAAUUCAAAGUAUUUUGCAAAUUUGCCUCAGUCAAUGAAUUGUGAUCAUAUUAGUAUGGAUUCAUCAAGAGGUUCAUCCUGCAGAAGCAGGAACUUGACUUCACCACACCUCAUUUACUAUCCAACAAAUCCUCAUUAGCAUAAUUAAACACUUAAUUAAUUUUCAAUUAAUCAAGAAUUAAAUUUAAUUAAAAAUAUUAGAUGCUUAUCAAAAAAAAAAAAAAUUAAAUAUAUUAGAUAAAAGGCUCAGAUGUAAAACAGCUUUUCAAUCAAGAAUUUUCUGAAGCAGAACUGGCAUUAAGCUGUGUAAACAAUCAUCACUGCAAAUCAAUGAACAUUCAAAAUACUUCAAUAAAUCAUUUUAAUAAAUAAGUUUUCAAUAUAUAAGAAGCAUAUCAGAUAUAUAACAGCUUUUUCAAUCAAGAAUUAUCAACAGCAGCAAAUAAAUUGUAAAAAUAAUUAAUUAAAAAUAAUAAUAAAUAUUUAACUGGCUCAUAUUAAGAAAUUCAACCAUUUUACCCAUAUACUUCAUCGACUGUAAAAAAUCUCAGAAGCGCGGAUAACUUUUUAAUCACAGCCAAAAAUAAAAUAAAAAUUAAAAAUUCAAUCUUUUUUUUUUUAAAUAUAGCGAAUUUUUUUUAGAUGCAAAACCUGUAGAAAAAAGGAGAGAACCCCCAUCAGAAAAUUGCUAAAGGUGUGGAGAGACAGAUCGAAAGAAGAAAAAAUAAAUAAAAUUGGGAAUAAAAUAAAUAUAGGCGUUUUUUUGACACAGAAAGGCCGUGGGUAUGAAAGGUACAAAGCGGCGAAAUCUGCAACACAAAACGGCGUAGUUUUAGCACAAGCAUUGGGGCUGCUUUCUUCAUCUAUUCAAUUAUCCAAAGAGCCCGGGGUAGCGACGUGCAAUUCGAGAAAAAAUACAGAACGAUUUACAGAAAAUUGAAAACGAAUUUGUUUCAUAAAAUACAGAACGAUUUGAAGAAAAGAAAACAAAUUUGUUUUGAUUUGAUGAAGAAAAUAGGUUAAUCGCUAAUUUUGUUAAUAGAUCUGGUUAGGGUUUGAUGGAGAUGGAGGAAUUGAGGUUGCUCGUCUGCGAUUUGAAGAUUGGGGUUUUGGGGCUUAUAUAGAAAAAAUUAUGACAAAUUAAUCAUCGGGGCCCUUAGUCAUCCCUUCUUUAGGUACAACUUCCGGGUUUCGGUAUAUAUUUAUGUGCUGCACGGACACUUCUAGUUCUAGAAGGUGAAGAGUCUCUGUAUUCGAUAUUCGGACAUUCAAACACGUUUUGUGUCGUAAUUUCACUAAAAUUAGGAUACUUGUAUCGCACACAAUUUUUCUAUCUACUUUGAGAGUCCACCCAAAAGUCUAAAUUUCUAGCGGCAAUGGCGACCAAGAACACGAGCAGCAAGGGCGAGCGAUUCUCUCAUGCGAUUUGGCGACAUAUAAAGACCAACCAUUUUUAUUAGGGAUUAUUAGGGAAAACCCCCUCAUAUGCAUUGUAUUAUUACACUAGAUCCUUUUCUUUUCCCCAUUUUUGAGAUAAAUCCAAUUGUAUUUUAUUAAGUAAAUUAUAUUAUUAAUAACCUAUUUUACCCUUUCUCAAUAUCUUUAAUCUAUCCACAACUCUCUAUCCCGUAAGCCGUCUCAUUCAUUUAUCUUCUCUCCCUUCUCUCAAUAACUUUGAACUCACGCCCACUCCAUCGCCGCCCCAUCGAACGACCAGACAAUUUUCGCCCUCCUCCUCAUUCUGCUUCUGUUGCUGCCGCCGAUUCAUCAUCUCCGAAUCAACCUCGCUCAUUUCCGGCGAAGGCAUCUCGUUCAUCUCCCAAAGAGUGGCGGCGAUCUUCCGGGUCAAAACGGGUCAGGUCUAUUUCCCACUCUGGGAUAGCAAAUCCCUAUUCAUUUCUUCGUGUUUUGAUGUUUUUAUUCAAAUUUGUUGAUUUGCACUAAAGUAAUUUCUUUUUGUUUUGAUUUUGCAAUUGCAGCUUAAUGAAGGCCAUUGAUCCUUUCCUUGAAGGUGUCAAAUUUUUGUUUUUUUAAGUUACAUCAGAUCUGUUCAACAGACUGUAUACAUAACUAUACAUUACUAUAGUAACAUGUAGUUACAUGUAGUUAUAUAUGCGUAUAUUUAUGUAUUUUCGUUUUGUAUUUUAUUGGUUCUGAUGUGAUUUAUAAUAAAAAUAUUUAAAUUUGUAAAUUUUUGUUGGGGUUUUAUGAAUUUAUUUUGUACAAGUCAGUAUUCGUGUGUGUAUACAAUUGAUCGACUAAAAAUAUGGGGAAAAAACGAACAUUUACAUGUAGUUAUUUUCAGUAUUGUAAACAUAUUGUUUUGAAAAUUAAAAAAAAUUAAAAAAUAAAAAAAUAAUAAUUUUUUUUAUUUUAAAAAAAAAUUAAAAAAAAAUAUAUAUAUAUAUAUAUAUAUAUAUAUAUAUAUAUAUAUAUAUAUAUAUAUAUAUAUUUAACAAACAGAUUUAUAAAAAAAAAGAAAAAAAAAAGAAAAUAAUAAUAAAUAAAUCAGCGAAAAUGAUAAAUGCAGGACCAUAAAUGUUGAAUGCAGUUUGGCCGAAAAUUGCACAUAAGGGUAGUAUAGUACUUUCGCGUCCCCAGGGGGUAUGUCAAAGGAUGAUUUGGACUUGGGUUUAUCCCUAGUUUAUUUAGUGGCUAAGGGGGUAUGUAAAAUAACCCCUAAAAAUUAAUCAAAAUUAAAAUAAAUAUAAAAUAUAAAGAAAUCCAAAAAACCCUAAAUGGAGUAAUCUGCAUUUAAUGGGAUUAGUUAGGGCAUUUUGGGUAAUUUGUGUCAUUUGGGUUUAUGUCAAAAAUCACAUUAAAAUUUGGAUUUAUCAAGAAGUCAAAAUCCAAUGAGGGGUGUUUGUCAUAUAGCCCCUUUUAGGGGUAUGUAAAAUAACCCCUAAAAAUUAAUCAAAAUUAAAAUAAAUAUAAAAUAUAAAGAAAUCCAAAAAACCCUAAAUGGAGUAAUCUGCAUUUAAUGGGAUUAGUUAGGGCAUUUUGGGUAAUUUGUGUCAUUUGGGUUUAUGUCAAAAAUCACAUUAAAAUUUGGAUUUAUCAAGAAGUCAAAAUCCAAUGAGGGAUGUUUGUCAUAUAGCCCCUUUUUAUUAUUCUAGGCUAACCAUGUGUGACAAACUCGACCUAGCGACCGUUGACAAUGGAAUUUGAACACGGGUCAAUUGACUCAUGCUCACUUGCUCAAACCGCUAGGUCAUCACUUGCGUGACAUCUAAUAAUUAUUAGAUUGUUAUGUUUAUUAUGUUUUAGUUUUAAAAUAUAUCAUAUUUGAUGUUGAGGGUAAGUGAUUAAUGAUACUUUAAAGGGGUAAGUGUUACAUAUGCUAUAUAACAAAAUUACGCCUAACCCUUUAAACUAAUUUCCUAAUUCUAACCCCAAUUUAACUUCAAUUUAAUCAAUUUUAAAAAAAAUUCAAAUUUGACUUAUUUUUUUGUUUUAAAUUUUUUUUGCCGCCUGUUUUCGGCAUUGACUUUUUUUUUUUUUUUCUUUCAUGUCUGAUUUUUCCGCCGCCGAUUUUUCGGCGUUGACUUUUUUUAAUUAAUUAUUUUUUUUUUUCAGUCUAUUCUUUCCGCAGCCGGUUUCCGGCGUUGAGUUUUUUUAGUUUUUCUUUUCCUAAUUUUUUUGUCCCUUUUUUUACGCCCGCUACUAAACGUUGACCGUAAUUGUACUGUCAUUAACAGUAAUUACAGUGUCGCUGACCGUAAUUGUAUUGUCAACGACAGUGCAAUUACGUACAUGUACUGUAGUUGAUAGUACAAUUACUGUCAGCCACAACAAUAUUAUUAUUUUUUUUGGUUUUUUUAAUUUAUUUGUUCGAUUUGUUGACAAGUCAAUGUAAUUAUAUUACUGUCGUUAACGUUAAAAUUACUGUAAACACAAUAAUAUUAUUGUGGUUGACGGUAAUAUUACUGUUGUUACAGUAAUAUUAUUGUGGAUGACAGUAAUAUUACUGUCAACCACAUCAAUAUUAUUUUUUUUUUUGUUUUUUAUUAUGUUUGCAUUUGUUGAACGGUCAACAUAUUAAGAGAGUGUUUUGCUAAGCUUAUAAGAUGUUAAAAGGAGCUUAUAAGAUGUAUUAGAGUUUAUAAGCUCUUCCCAAGUGUUUGGUAAAUUUAAAAAAAAACGAUCUUAAUUUUUUUAUAAAAUAAGCUGUUGGAGAGCAAAUAAGAUCUUUUUUAAAAAGUACAUCUACCCCACAUUUUUAUUUAAGAUCUUAUAAGGAGUAAAAAUAGGAAAUAAGUUCAUUAUCCAAACACACUAAAAAUUAAUCCUAAAAAUAAGAUAUAUCAGCUUAUCAGCUCUUAAAACAUGUUAUCAGACGUAAGAGCUUAUCAGUUGUUUAAAAGAAGUUUAGCCAAACACCCUCUAAUAUUACUCUAUUAUAUAAUAAUAAUGAUCUUUGUUGUGUUAAUAUUACUAUGCUAGAGAAUUAUAUAACAAUAUUAUUGUGUAAAACAGUAUAAUUAAUAUUAUUGUGUCAACCACCAUAAUCUUGUUGUUAAAACGGGGCAAAAAGAUGUUAAAGAAAAAAAAUCAAAAAAAAAAAAAGUCAACGACACCGGUCAUCGGCGGCAGAAAGAAGGAAAAAAAGACAAAAAAGUCAACGCAGAAGACCGACGAAAAAAUCAGGAGAAAAAAAAGUCAACAGCGGCGACGGGCGAAAAUUGUACUCAAAAUUGAGUUUUGAAUAAGAAUUGAAUAACUUGUAAAAUUUGGGGUCAAAAUGAAGUUAAAUUAAAUUAAAGGAUGAAUUUUUAGCAUAUUAAAAUGUGAGGGGCUAUUUUUAGUAUUUUACACACCCUUGGACAAUGUGUCGAUUUUUUUGUAAAAUAGUAUUUUGUCUGAACCCCAUUAUGAAUAAACUGGUGUUUGCAAACUUAUUUAAAAGCAUAAGUUAGUGAUUGUGAGUUAAGAGGGUGUUUGGCUAAGCUUAUAAGAUGUUAAAAGGAGCUUAUAAGAUGUUUUAGAGCUUAUAAGCUCUUCCAAAGUGUUUGGUAAUUUUUUUUAAAAAGAUCUUAAUUUUUUUUAAAAUAAGCUGUUGGGGAGCAAAUAAGAUCUUUUUAAAUAAGUACCUCUACCCCACCUUUUUUUUUAAGAUCUUAUAAUGAGUAAAAAUAGGAAAUAAGUUUAUUAUCCAAACACUCUAAAAAUUAAUCCUAAAAAUAAGAUGUAACAGCUUAUCAGCUCUUAAAACAUCUUAUCAGACGUAAGAGCUUAUCAGCUGUUUAAAAUCAGCUUAGCCAAACACCCUCUAAGUUGGUUUCAAGUGCUUAAUUCUAAAAAUUGGGGGUGUUUGCAAAAAAUAUGGAAAAUUAACUAAAAUAGAAAAAGAAGGUACAUGAGUGUUUUUAAAUUAUAGCUUAAAGCAGCUUAUUUUAAGAGAAACAAAGGCAAAAGUCGAUUUUGCAAACAGCUAAAAACAGAUUAUGUGAGUAAAAAAGCUCCUAAUCUAUUUUUAAAAGCUUUUGCAAACACUACCUAAGUAUGCCAUCAUGGGCUUAUUUGUAAUGGACCAUUGUUUAGGGUAAAUCACGGUCAAACCCUGAGGUAAGGUCAAAUUACGAAAAAACUCCUCAUCUUUGAGUAAUUAUAAUCGCCCCUCAAUUACAAAUAUUCUUCACAUUCACCCUAAUGAUGUCGAAUUUAGUCGGAUCUUUUAGAUUAUAUGGAACAUUCUCCAGUUUGUAUCUGUUUUAUCCCAUUUGAGUUCCUAAUUUUGAAACAAGAUGAUCAUAAGAUGUGUCUAUUGGCUUGUAAAUAUCAUAUUGUGAAGCAUCAGAAACUGUUUAUUUUUUUGGAUAAAACGAAUACAAACUAAAGAAUAUUCCAUGAGGUAAGCAAUUUAACUUACCUCAUGAUCAAAAUAAAUAGAAUCGGAUUUCCGAGGAAAUAAACGUGCACACAUUUAUUUAAUUGGUCAGUCUACAAUUCAUAAGACAAUCAGAACCUUUUAUUAACUGUUUUCCUAAUUAUUUAAAUACAUAAACAAAAUACAAAAUACAAUUUACAUUAAUCGCAAUUAACACAAACGUCAACUAAAAUCAAAAUACACAUAAUUAACAACGAUAAAUCAAAUCAAAAACUAAACUUAAAAAAAAAAGAAUAAUUACAGUCAAACAAUUCAAGAAAAGACAAAUUACAAAAAAAAAAAAAAAAAACACUAUUACAAUUUGCUUAAUUACAAAAAACAAAAGUUUAAAAAAUUAUCUUUAAUGAAAUGUAUUGCUGUAGUUUGACUCCGGCCCGAUUAAUUUUCAAGACGAAGUUGAUAUCAACAAAUAAAUAUACGAGUUUUUUCAGACACCAAGCCCGAUUUAUUAUUACAGGCAAGAGUAUAGUUGAAACUCGUAUAAACAAACAAAAACAAACAUAAAUAUAUUAUAAAUAAAAUUUAUUUUAAUUUAGUAAUUAAAAAAUAUUGCAAAUUUGCUUCAGUCAAUGAAUUGUGAUCAUAUUAGUAUGGAUUCAUCAAGAGGUUCAUCCUGCAGAAGCAGGAACUUGACUUCACCACACCUCAUUUACUAUCCAACAAAUCCUCAUUAGCAUAAUUAAACACCUAAUUAAUUUUCAAUUAAUCAAGAAUUAAAUUUAAUUAAAAAAUAAUCUCAGAAAAAUCCAGUAAUUUCAUGAAAGAUAUGGCAACCCCAAGUGGUUCUCCCUGAAUAAACAGGGUCUUGUGAUCAACCAUACCUCAAUUAUUUGGAUUAAUUCAUCAUUGAAAAUUAAAUACAUUUCAAUUAAAUAUAUUUCAAAUAAAUAAUUUAAAAAUAUUAGAAAAAAGCUCAGAUGUAUUAACAGCUUUUCAAUCAAGAAUUUUCUGAAGCAGAACUGGCAUUAAGCUGUGUAAACAAUCAUCACUGCAAAUCAACAAACUGUUAAAAAAGGAUUUAAAUAAAUAAUUCAAAAUAAAUUAAAAUAAUUCUCAGAUGUAUAACAGCUUUUCGAUCAAGAAUUAUCUGAAGCAGAACUGGCAUAAUAGGCUGUAUUAGCAAUCAUCACUGAAAUUCAAAUAAAUUUAAUUUAAAAAAUAAUAAUAAUUAAUUGGCUCAUAUUAAGAAAUUCAACCAUUUUACCCAUAUACUUCAUCGACUGUAAAAAACCUCAGAAGCGCGGAUAACUUUUUAAUCACAGCCAAAAAUUUCAAAAAAAAAAACUAAAAAAAUAAAUAAAAAUUCAAUAUUUUUUUUGAAGAAUAUAGCGAAUUUUUUUAGAGGUAAACCUGUAAAUAAAAAGGAAAGAACCCCCACGUGAAAACCGCUGCAAUUUGUGCCUCUAUGACUAGCGCUGUUUCCAUUGAUUUUAUUAAAUUAAAUAUCAGAAAAUUGCUAAAGGUGUGAGAGGCAGAUCGGAAGAAAACAUAAAAUCAGAGGGGUAAAAUAUAAAUAAAUAAAUUUAGGCGUUUUUUUGACACAGAAAGGCCGUGGGAUUGAAAGGUACAAAGCGGCGAAAUCUGCAACACAAAACGGCGUAGUUUUAGCACAAGCAUUGGGGCUGCUUUCUUCAUCUAUUCAAUUAUCCAAAGAGCCCGGGGUAGCGACGUGCAAUUCGAGAAAAAAUACAGAACGAUUUACAGAAAAUUGAAAACGAAUUUGUUUUGAUUGGAUGAAGAAAAGAGGUGAAUCGCGAAAUUUGAAGAGAAAUUGUUAGUAGAUCUGGUUAGGGUUUUGAUGGAGAUGGAGGAAUUGAGGCUGC